GGAAGGAUCAUUAACACUUCCGAUUAUCUAACCAUACCUGAAUCCUGUUCCCUCUUGGGAGCAGUCUUACCUUACUUACAAACAAUUGACCAAGUCAAUUAACAAUCACCAUUCUCAACGACGGAUAUCUAGGUUCCCAUUACGAUGAAGAACGCAGCAAAGUGCGAUAAGCAAUGCGAAUUGCAGAAAUCCGCGAGUCAUCAGAUUUUUGAAUGCAAUCGGCGCCAUGGGGCAACCCUUAGGCAUGUUUGUUUCAGUGUGCCCUACUAACUAAACCAACCUAAUGCCUGAGAAACUUCUCAGGUUAAGUGAGGUGCGGCAUUCCGCUAAUCCGAAGCAGUAGUCACACUCACGUGGACCUCUUUGGAUAAAGGCUGACGCACAGAUUCAACCACAAGUAAACACCUGAGGCAAGCAAGAGUACCCGCUAAACUUAAGCAUAUUACUCAGCGGAGGAAAAGAAACUAACAAAGAUUGCCUUAGUAACGGCGAGUGAAGAGGCAAAAGCUCAAAGUUAAAAUCGUGCGUCUCUGGCGUACGAAUUGUAACCUCAAGGGGGGGACAUAAGCCGAAUUGACGCAUAAGUCCCGAGGAUUCGGGCGCCAUAGAGGGUGAAAGCCCCGUACACGGUGUCGAUUCGGUGAAAGGAAACCUUCUCAGAGUCGGGUUGUUUGGUAAUGCAGCCCUAAACGGGAGAUAAACAUCUUCUAAAGCUAAAUAUGAAUGGGAAUCCGAUAGCGAACAAGUACUGCGAAGGAAAGAUGAGAAGAACUUUGGAAAGAGAGUUACAAGACUUGAAAUCGUUGAGAAGGAAGCGGUAGAGAUCCAUUAUUCCCUGAUCUUAAAGUCUCCAAGGUACACUUAGUUUUCACGUACAUUAAAGGCGUGAGGGCGAAGGCUGUAUUUUGGGGGCGUAUAGAGUAGGGGAAACACAGGAUGAAAUCGACGGCUCUUAGUAGCGAGCAUUCUAGCGGGGAAACCUGUUGUAUGCUUAGUGAAAGAGCGGCCGGUUUGAGGGGCCUUCGGGCGAUUCUGUGACAAUGGUCUUUUCCGUCCCGUCUUGAAACACGGACCAAGGAGUCUAGCAUAUAUGCGAGUGUGCUGGUGACAAACCGAUACGCGAAACGAAAGUGAAAUAUGCCAGGCGCAAGCCGCAGCAUAGGCCGACACCGAGCUAUAGCUCGGAGAUUGAGCAGGAGCAUAUCUGUUAGGACCCGAAAGAUGGUGAACUAUGCCUGUGCAGAGAGAAGUCAGGGGAAACCCUGAUGGAGGCUCGUAGCGAUACUGACGUGCAAAUCGUUCGUCAAACAUGGGUAUAGGGGCGAAAGACCAAUCGAACUAUCUAGUAGCUGGUUCCUUC
rnacentral:misc_RNA from 1 species